rnacentral:rRNA from 1 species
GGAUGCGAUCAUACCAGCACUAAAGCACCGGAUCCCAUCUGAACUCCGAAGUUAAGCGUGCUUGGGCGAGAGUACUACUAGGAUUGGUGACCUCCUAGGAAGUCCUCGUGUUGCAUUCC